CAGUCGCCGCGGUAAUACGUAGGUGGCAAGCGUUGUCCGGAAUUAUUGGGCGUAAAGGGCUCGCAGGCGGUUUCUUAAGUCUGAUGUGAAAGCCCCCGGCUCAACUGGGGAGGGUCAUUGGAAACUGGGAAACUUGAGUGCAGAAGAGGAGAGUGGAAUUCCACGUGUAGCGGUGAAAUGCGUAGAGAUGUGGAGGAACACCAGUGGCGAAGGCGACUCUCUGGUCUGUAACUGACGCUGAGGAGCGAAAGCGUGGGGAGCGAACAGGAUUAGAUACCCCAGUAGUCCCUGUCUCUUAUAC
rnacentral:rRNA from 1 species